CCCAAGCGACAUGCCCCGGCUACACGCGCCGCACCUGGAAGGCCGAAGUUGAAGACGAAUCGUGAGGACAACAAGCGGAUUCCGAACGCCAUGAGUCCACACUCACCAGUCAGAGGUGGAGAUGGUGUAGUAGACCGGCAGCUGACUGGAGCUGGACAGACAGCUGAACUCCUCCAGGCCACACGUCCCCAUGUUGGAGAAGAGCAGCCAGUCCC